UUAUAACCAAUUUUACUUUGGUUACAUGUAGAUAAUUGACCAUAGUAAGAUAUCCACAUUAAAUAUGUAGAAAUAUUAAUAAGUUGCAGAAUUUGGUGCAAGCUUGAUUUUAACUAGCUAUGCCUACAUCGCAUGUUUCAUACUAGCUUGAGUUCUUUCAUUUGUGAGCAAGCAAUUUCUCUUUUGUUAAGUUUUACAUGACCUAUGUGCUACCCAUAUAAUCCUGAGUAUUUAUGUUAUCAAAGCCUUGAGGAGAUAUUGUGUAUGCGUGUUUGAAGCUACUGGUAAAGGUAGUAAAUCGGCCCAUAGACCGGCAAAGACACAAUGGCGUGUCCUACAUCAUUACUCUGCCAUCUUUGUACUCGUUUCGCCAAACUAUUGGUUCUGAUAUAGUAAUUAGGCUAAAAUUGCCCAAAUACACUGUUAACAUGGUAUGAUAUUGUCCGCUUUCAGCCAAGCGCACAUGUUUUUUCCCAAAAAAACUCACACUAUUAAGAGUAUCCAACUCCUUAUAAAAAGAUUAUUUCUUUUUUUACUUUUUAUGCGGGACUUUAUUCACACACCCAACAACAGUCUUUCAUUAUUAAUUUGACAACCCUAAGUUUUUAUUCUUUUGCAACCUUGAAGAUAAAAGAAGAUGCACAACAUAUGAGAUGCAUGUUAAAUUAUACUAUGUAAAUUUAGUGCAAACAGCCCGUUGAACUCACUUUUUGCUUAGUAACUCAAAUCAGAAAUUUUCUAGUGUUGAUUAUUUUCAUUAACCUAGUUUUUGAUGUACUGUGUCAGAUUAACAAUUCUAUCAAAUGGUGACAUUAUUUGUGUAUCAUGGUCUGUGUAAUAGAGCUGAGGGUCUAUCUGAAAUAAUAUUUUUAUUCCCUUGGAGUGGGGUUAAACUCUGCGUGCACACUACCUUCCCAUACUCCACUUAUAAAAUUUUACUGGGUUGUUGUUAUUGUUGGUCUGUGUAAUAGUAUGCUAUAUUUGGAGUUGAGGAAACUUUACUAAGACUUGUAUGUCAAAUAUUUACAGGUCAAAAUGGUUACUCAAUGUCCAAUUUUAUGUGAAUUAUUGUUCUCAUAACUCAUAUUGAAUGAGUAGGCUUGGUUUAUAUAUUCCCUUUACUUUCUCAAAACCAUUUUUACUGUUAUCUGAAACUAUUGCUCCGAACCUGAUUGUCUUUUGUUACUCAUAAUUGAUAGAGGCAUUGAAGAUGGAAGCAACAACUAUGUCCCAAAGGGAGCAUGUUUUUCUCUUCCACAGGCUUAUUAUGCUUCUUAAAUCCUCAUUCUGCAUUAUUCAUUUUGAGUACUAUUUUUUUUAAUCUUGUCUUUAGCUGUCUUUCCAGGAUAGGGGUAAAGGGUCUGCGUACACAUUACCCUUUUCAAACUCCACUUGUGAGAACUCAGUGGAUCUGUUGUUGUUGUUGUUGUUACCCUGACAGCAGUUGUGUAUUUCUUGUGAGACGUAAUUGCUUGUUGAUUGGAGUGUUUUUUUUUUUUACCUCUAAUUAUUUGUCGGGAAAAUGUGCAUAACAUUGCUUCAGAAGGACAAUAUUUUUAACCUAAGAUGCUGGACUUUGCCAACUUGAACUGCGACCUCUUAGGCUAUAAUUAAUCUCUUACAUUAUCAAUAUUUUUAAAGAUUUUUGUAAGAGCAGUUUUGUCUUUAUACUUGGUUAUCCAUGUAUACUAAAAAUCAUGGUAUUGUUAUUGCAGUUGUUUGCUUUGUACAAGAAUAAUAUUGAAUAGGG
rnacentral:lncRNA from 1 species